GCAUAGCUCAGUUGGUUAGUGUGUGGUGCUGACAUCACCAAGGUUGCAGGUUCAGUUCCCGUAAGGGACAGCUGCA